UCUUCCACCUAACAUGUUUGGGCCAUUAGAUCUGAUCCAUGGAUCUGAUCAUUUGAUGGACCGCACGUUGACCGUUGGUCAACUCUGAUUCCCUCUUGGGCUGCAACGCUUUUGGGCCUGCUUGUUUUGUUAUUUGGACCCUCCUUUUCAUUUUCACACCCCCUUUUUAAUUUAAUUUAAUUUUCCUUUUUAUUUAUUUGAUUUAAUUUUAUUUCAUUUUCAGAUUUUAAUUUUUUCCCAUUUAUUUUCCAAUAUUUUUACUAUUUAAUAUUUU
rnacentral:lncRNA from 1 species